GAGAGAAAUGAUGAAGGAAGCACUUCCGCAGAGAACCCGGUAAAUGUAAACAUCGCCAACUUUGGCGAUAAUAGCUAACUUGGUAACCCUUCGGAUUUAUCCCAUUCGCUUGUUCGAAGUUUGCAACCAUUCCUCUUGCGUUUAUUUUGUUGAAUUAAGACUGUCGUUGUUCGCAUUUGCAGAUUUAUAUUAUUCUUCUCUUAUUUAUUAUUAUUUUUUCUG